UACGUAGGGUGCGAGCGUUGUCCGGAAUUAUUGGGCGUAAAGAGCUCGUAGGCGGUCUGUCGCGUCGAAUGUGAAAACCCGGGGCUCAACUCCGGGCUUGCAUUCGAUACGGGUAGGCUAGAGUUCGGUAGGGGAGUCUGGAAUUCCUGGUGUAGCGGUGAAAUGCGCAGAUAUCAGGAGGAACACCGGUGGCGAAGGCGGGACUCUGGGCCGAUAUCGACGCUGAGGAGCGAAAGCGUGGGGAGCGAACAGG
rnacentral:rRNA from 1 species